CCACGUAGGGCGCAAGCGUUGUCCGGAUUUAUUGGGCGUAAAGGGCUCGUAGGCGGUUUCGUAAGUCGGGUGUGAAAACUCAGGGCUCAACCCUGAGACGCCACUCGAUACUGCGAUGACUUGAGUCCGGUAGGGGAGCAGGGAAUUCCUGGUGUAGCGGUGAAAUGCGCAGAUAUCAGGAGGAACACCAUUAGCGAAGGCGCUGCUCUGGGCCGGUACUGACGCUGAGGAGCGAAAGCAUGGGGAGCAAACAGGAUUAGAAACCCUAGUAGUCC
rnacentral:rRNA from 1 species